UGUCUCGUCUAGCUUCUUGACUUCAUGUCUUUUGGGUUGUUUUCGUGUGUGCCUGCCUGCCUACCUCUGGACACAUUUUGUUUCAGCAUGAAGCAGCAUGUCCCCACAAUUCAGAGACAAGAUCCUAUGGUUGUGCAUGAUAAAGUCAUGUACUGUGGGCCUCUUGUUUUGUUUUUUGAUGGGACACCACCACCAUCUUGUGGAUUUUCUCAGGAACUGUUACACAAAUCAACAGGCCCUGAAUGAAGCAGCAGCAUGAAGCAGCAUGUCCCCACAAUUCAGAGACAAGAUCCUAUGGUUGUGCAUGAUAAAAAAAAACUAUAACCGUCAAGCCUGAUCAUCUGCCUUUGCCCUGAAUGUGUGCAGAGACAAAUGGCUUCAAUGGAAACAACAGUUGUCCUUUCUACAUUCUUGCCGAUGUACCAAGGUGUUGUUAAAGUGCCCAUAUUAUGAAAA